rnacentral:rRNA from 1 species
GAUGAACGCUGGCGGCGUGCCUAAUACAUGCAAGUCGAGCGAAUGGAUUAAGAGCUUGCUCUUAUGAAGUUAGCGGCGGACGGGUGAGUAACACGUGGGUAACCUGCCCAUAAGACUGGGAUAACUCCGGGAAACCGGGGCUAAUACCGGAUAACAUUUUGAACCGCAUGGUUCGAAAUUGAAAGGCGGCUUCGGCUGUCACUUAUGGAUGGACCCGCGUCGCAUUAGCUAGUUGGUGAGGUAACGGCUCACCAAGGCAACGAUGCGUAGCCGACCUGAGGGGGUGCUCGGCCACACUGGGACUGAGACACGGCCCAGACUCCUACGGGAGGCAGCAGUAGGGAAUCUUCCGCAAUGGACGAAAGUCUGACGGAGCAACGCCGCGUGAGUGAUGAAGGCUUUCGGGUCGUAAAACUCUGUUGUUAGGGAAGAACAAGUGCUAGUUGAAUAAGCUGACACCUUGACGGUACCUAGCCAGAAAGCCACGGCUAACUACGUGCCAGCAGCCGCCGUAA